ACGACCGUACCGCAAACCGACACUGGUGCGCGAGAUGAGUAUUCUAAGGCGCUUGAGAGAACUCAGGAGAAGGAACUCGGCAAAUUGACACCGUAACUUCGGAAGAAGGUGUGCCUUUAGUAGGUGAAGUCCCUUGCGGAUGGAGCCCAAUGAGGUUGCAAAAAAUCGGUGGCUGCGACUGUUUAUUAAAAACACAGCACUCUGCAAACACGAAAGUGGACGUAUAGGGUGUGACGCCUGCCCGGUGCUGGAAGAUUAAAUGAUGGGGUGCAAGCUCUUGAUUGAAGUCCCAGUAAACGGCGGCCGUAACAAUAACGGUCCUAAGGUAGCGAAAUUCCUUGUCGGGUAAGUUCCGACCUGCACGAAUGGCGUAACGAUGGCCACACUGUCUCCUCCUGAGACUCAGCGAAGUUGGAAUGUUUGUGAUGAUGCAAUCUCCCCGCGGAAAGACGGAAAGACCCCAUGAACCUUUACUGUAGCUUUGUAUUGGACUUUGAACAGAUCUGUGUAGGAUAGGUGGGAGGCUUUGAGGCAGGGUCGCUAGAUCUUGUGGAGCCAACGUUGAAAUACCACCCUGGUGUGUUUGAGGUUCUAACCUAGGCCCGUAAUCCGGGUUGGGGACAGUGCAUGGUAGGCAGUUUGGCUGGGGCGGUCUCCUCCCAAAGUGUAACGGAGGAGUUCGAAGGUACGCUAGUUACGGUCGGACAUCGUGACGAUAGUGCAAUGGCAUAAGCGUGCUUAACUGCGAGACUGACAAGUCGAGCAGAUGCGAAAGCAGGACAUAGUGAUCCGGUGGUUCUGUAUGGAAGGGCCAUCGCUCAACGGAUAAAAGGUACUCUGGGGAUAACAGGCUGAUACCGCCCAAGAGUUCAUAUCGACGGCGGUGUUUGGCACCUCGAUGUCGGCUCAUCUCAUCCUGGGGCUGUAGCCGGUCCCAAGGGUAUGGCUGUUCGCCAUUUAAAGAGGUACGUGAGCUGGGUUUAAAACGUCGUGAGACAGUUUGGUCCCUAUCUUCCGUGGGCGCUGCAGAUUUGAGGAAGCCUGCUCCUAGUACGAGAGGACCGGAGUGGACGCACCUCUGGUGUAUCGGUUGUCACGCCAGUGGCAUUGCCGAGUAGCUAUGUGCGGAAGAGAUAACCGCUGAAGGCAUCUAAGCGGGAAACUCGUUUCAAGAUGAGAUCUGCCGGGGCCUUGAGCCCCCUAAAGAGUCGUUCAAGACCAGGACGUUGAUAGGUCGGGUGUGGAAGCGCAGUAAUGCGUUAAGCUAACCGAUACUAAUUGCUCGUGCGGCUUGACCUG
rnacentral:rRNA from 1 species